GCCAGCAGCUCCAUCCCCCUGCAGCUAACAGCUGGCAGCCCACUGGAGCCCAGCAGGCGUGAGCCUGAUCAGUACCUGGAUGGGAGACCUCCUGGGAAAAACUAAGGUUGCUGCUGGAA
rnacentral:rRNA from 1 species